rnacentral:rRNA from 1 species
AGCUCCAAUAGCGUAUAUUAAAGUUGUUGCAGUUAAAAAGCUCGUAGUUGGAUUUCUGGCGGGGAGUGUGCGUCGCCGAUAUGGUUGAACGCAAACACUCCCGCGCCAUCCUCGGGGUGCGUCUGCACCGCCUUAACUGGUGGAGCAGGUUGCGUGCCCCGUCAUUUACUGUGAGAAAAUUAGAGUGUUCAAAGCAGGCGUGUUGCCUCUGAAUACAUUAGCAUGGAAUAAUGAGAUAGGACGAAGGUGCUAUUUUGUUGGUUUGUACACCAUCGUAAUGAUUAAUAGGGACAGUUGGGGGUAUUCAUAUUUAGUUGUCAGAGGUGAAAUUCUUGGAUUAUCUAAAGAUGAACAUCUGCGAAAGCAUUUACCAAGGAUGUUUUCG